rnacentral:lncRNA from 1 species
AUGAUGGUAGUGAUAGCAGUUUAGUGAAUGUUGUGGUAGUAGUAAUGAUGAUGGUAGUGAUAGCAGUUUAAUGAUAGUGGUGGUGGUAGUAGUAAUGAUGAUGGUAGUGAUAGCAAUUUAGUGAUAGUGCUGGUGGUAGUAAUGAUGAUGGUAGUGAUAGCAGUUUAAUGAUAGUGGUGGUGGUAGUAGUAAUGAUGAUGGUAGUGAUAGCAAUUUAGUGAUAGUGCUGGUGGUAGUAGUAAUGAUGAUGGUAGUGAUAGCAGUUUAAUGAUAGUGGUGGGGGUAGCAGUAAUGAUGAUGGUAGUUAUAGCAAUUUAGUGAUAGUGCUGGUGGUAGUAAUGAUGAUGGUAGUGAUAGCAGUUUAGUGAUGGUGGUGGUGGUAAUAUUAAUAAUGAUGAUGGUAGUGAUAGCAAUUUAGUGAAUGUUGUGGUAGUAGUAGUAGAAUGAUGGUAGUGAUAGCAGUUUAGUGAUGGUGGUGGUAGUAGAAGUAAUGAUAAUGGUAGUGAUAGCAGUUUAGUGAUGGUGUGGUAGUAGAAGUAAUGAUGAUGGUAGUGAUAGCUGUUUAGUGAUGGUGGUGAUGGUAGUAGUAGAAAUUAUAAUGGUAGUGAUAGCAGUUUAGUGAUGGUAGUGGUGGUGGUAGUAAUAAUGAUGAUGGUAGUGAUAGAAGUUUAGUGAUGGUGGUAGUAGUAGUAAUGAGGAUGGUAGUGAUAGCAGUUUAGUGAUGGUGGUGGAAGUAGUAGUAGUAAUGAUUAUGGCAUUGAUAGCAGUUUAGUGAUGGUGGUGGUAGUAGUAAUGAUGAUGGUAGUGAUAGAAGUUUAGUGAUGGUGGUGGUAGUAGUAGUAAUGAUGAUGGUAGUUAUGGCAGUUUAGUGAUGGUGGUGGUGGUAGUAGUAGAAUGAUAAUGGUAGUGAUAGCAGAUUAGUUAUAGUGGUGGUGGUAGUAGUAGUAAUGAUGAAAGUAGUGAUAGCAAUUUAGUGAUGGUGGUGGUAGUUAUGAUAAUGGUAGUGAUAGCAGUUUAGUGAUGGUGGUGGUAGUAGUUGUAAUGAUGAUGGUAGUGAUAGCAGUGUAGUGAUGAAGGUGGUGGUAGUAGUAGUAAUGAUGAAGGUAGUGACACCAGUUUAGUUAUGGUGGUGGUAGUAGUAGUAGAAUGAUGAUGGUAGUGAUAGCAGUUUAGUGAUGGUGGCAGUAGUAGUAGUAAUGAUAAUGGUAGUGAUAGCAGUUUAGUGAUUGUCGUGGUAGUAGUAGUAAUGAUGAUGGUAGUGAUAGCAUUUUAGUGGUGGUGGUAGUAGUAGUAAUGAUGAAGGUAGAGACACCAGUUUAGUUAUGGUGGUGGUGGUAGUAGUAGUAAUGAUGAAGGCAGUGAUAGAUGUUUAGUGAUGGUGGUGGUAGUAAUGAUGAUGGUAGUGAUAGCAGUUUAGUGAUGGUGGUGGUGAUAAUAUUAAUAAUGAUGAAGUAGUGAUAGCAGUUUAGUGAUGGUUGUGGUAGAAGUAGUAGAAUGAUGAUGGUAGUGAUAGCAGUUUAGUGAUGGAAAUGGUAGUAGAACUAAUGAUGAUGGUAGUGAUACCAGUUUAGUUAUGGUGGUGGUAGUAGUAGUAGAAUGAUGAUGGUAGU